UUUCGCAAUGCCCGAAAGGGUGACGAAGCGACGCCGCGUGUGGGAAGAAGGCCUUCGGGUUGUAAACCACUGUCGGGAGUUAAGAAAUGUAAGGAUGUUAAUAGCGUCCUUACUUGACUAAGGCUCCAGAGGAAGCCACGGCUAACUCUGUGCCAGCAGCCGCGGUAAUACAGAGGCGGCAAGCGUUGUUCGGAAUUAUUGGGCGUAAAGAGCACGUAGGCGGCCCUGAAAGUCAGUUGUGAAAGCCUUCUGCUUAACGGAAGAACAGCAUCUGAUGCUCCAGGGCUAGAGUACGGGAGGGGAGAGUGGAACUUCUGGUGGAGCGGUGAAAUGCGUAGAUAUCAGAAGGAACGCCGGCGGCGAAAGCGACUCUCUGGUCCGUAACUGACGCUGAGUGUGCGAAAGCUAGGGGAGCAAACGGGAUUAGGUACCCCGGUAGUCCUAGCCGUAAACGAUGGGCACUAAGUAGAGGGGUUUU
rnacentral:rRNA from 1 species